AUGAAUCAGCCGAGGAUGGAUAGCUCGUUGCUCCUGAUGGAAGACAUAGUCAUCCCUAAUGUGGAUAUCUUGGGGUUAUCCUUAGAAACAAAUGAACAUGCUUUUGAAAGAAGUGUACUGCGGUUGCUCACAAAGUGUCAUGGUAUAAGAGAGCUGCGCCUAUCAUUCCAAAUCCAAGAUGAGGUCCAAAAUUACUGUUGGCCAAACUGCAUUUGCCACACUGAGCCAGGAGCUGAGGGCGUUCUGAUGAUGGCUCUGAGAGAAGUGUAUAUCAUCAAUUUUGAUGGGGAUGCAGGUGAAGUUUACGUUGUGGAACAACUCCUGCUACAGGCACCGGGUCUUACAGUUUUGACAAUAGCCUCGGAGGCUGAGGAUCCUUCAUUGGGCAACAUCGAAAGCUUAUGCCCUGCAGAUUGUAGAUUUGAGCUUUUAUGGUAUUAG
rnacentral:rRNA from 1 species